UGCGGAGGGAUCAUUACCAGAGUGCCUUUUGGCUCUCCAACCCACUGUGAACAUACCUACGUUUCCCUCGGCGGGCUCAGCGCGCGGCGGUACUCCCGCCUCGCGUCCGCCGGGGGCCCCCAAACUCGAAUUUACUACGUGUAUCUCUGAGGGGCGAAAGCCCGUAAAACAAAAUGAAUCAAAACUUUCAACAACGGAUCUCUUGGCUCUGGCAUCGAUGAAGAACGCAGCGAAAUGCGAUAAGUAAUGUGAAUUGCAGAAUUCAGUGAAUCAUCGAAUCUUUGAACGCACAUUGCGCCCGCCGGCACUCCGGCGGGCAUGCCUGUCCGAGCGUCAUUUCAACCCUCGGGCCCACCCUUCGCGGGGAUCGGGCCCGGCGUUGGGGACCGGAGGCCGCCUCGGCGGCACCCGCCCCCUAAAUUCAGUGGCGGUCGCGCCGCAGCCUCCCCUGCGUAGUAGCACACCUCGCACCGGAGAGCGGCACGGCCACGCCUCGAAACCCCCCAAUUUAUCAAGGUUGACCUCGGAUCAGGUAGGAAUACCCGCUGAACUUAAGCAUAUCAAANNCC
rnacentral:rRNA from 1 species